UAUUAAAUCACGAUGCCCUUCCUUUGUAGUUAUUGUUUUGGCUCUGUCCAACCUUGGUUUUGGUUGAUCCUGAUAUUCAUCCAAUUUGUAGGAUAUGAGGGUCUAUAUUAGUUACACUGGAGUCAUUGUGUGCUCUUAUAAUGUGACAACAGGUUGUUUCAAUUUCCAAGAUACCAUUUCUCUUGCUCUUAUAACGCCACAACAUGUUGUUUCUAUUUCCAUAUUAGUUCUAACGUUCCAGUUUUCUUGCUACUAUACGUACUUGCUUUCCCUAAUCUCAACCCUAUUUUUAAUUAUUGUUUCCACCGUGUGCUAAGGUUUCUAUUGGCAGGCUUCUCUACAGUUUGGGAUGUAUCACGGCAUUCUCUCCACUAGCGGAAUAGCUGUAAUGCAUAUGCUUAUUCCUCCACAUCACUCCAGGCAGUGGCUACAGGUCACCAUCAUGUGAUUGAAAGAGGAUUGGUUAGGAACAAGGAGUGCGCCUGUGCCUGAUGAUUAAAGCCUGCAGCAAAGAUGUGGCUGGAUGGUUGUUGACUACUCCCUAGCGCAGAAGAUUUUCAUGGGGUUGUUAGGUUGUGGAUGUGUCCUUUAGUAUGUCCUUCUUUCUUGUGCUAUGCUCCGUUCAUUUUCUUGCGACGCUGAGCUACAACAAGAGACUAACGUUAGUGGGAUAUGAGGUGCUUGGUCAGAAAUUCAUUAGGUACACAUCAUUUAUGGUGGUGUUCGCUACAGUCUUCUAUAUAUGAUCUCUCAUAGAUGGUUGAAUCUUUCUUCACAAUUAUCACGUCAUAUAGUUUCGCAUAUUAAAUACAGCCUUACUAUUUUUAAACCAAUGCUACCCAGGUUGUCUCCUUUUGGUUUUCUGUUAUUUCUUCAAAAAAUUGUGCAUUUUUAUAUAUAGACCUGUUUACCUCCCUGUUCCAAACCAAACAUAGACAUCGAAAAUGCGUAGCUAAAUAAAUUAUCCAUUGGAUUCUCUGUCUUGCUACCAAUAGUGCAUGUACAUGAAAAAAUCAAUUAGUGUGUGCAACCUUUUUUAUGGCAGUGAAAAUGAUAAGUAUUUGAUUAUUAUGCAACCUUUGAAUGGCAGAAAUCAAAUAGUAUUGAUUACUAUGCUACUUGGAUAAUUUCUAGCAUUAGAUACUUCACUAUAAAAAAUAUUGGGUUGUUAAAGUUCUCAUUGAUGGAGCUUAGUUUCAUAAGGAGCAAAGGAGACAACCUUUGUUGGUGCACGGUCUUGAAGAGGCUGGUCUCGAAGAGGUACUAACCUGCACCAGAAGAUGAAGGGGUUCACUAGGCGCUAAGGUGAUUUCAUAGGUGAUUAAAGAUGAGAUGCUUCACUAUCUGCAAGCUCGCGAGCUAAGGACGUGUAAACUAUCUGGAAGCUCCAUAUUGUUUAAUGUACCAUGCAAGAGUUACAGGAUUUCAGCGACAACCUUUACCUCUACAACUUGCCACAUACCAGGACUUGAAGUCAGCAUCAGAUUUUGUAUCUACACGAAAUCAAUCACAGAGGAAAAGAUCCUGAGAUCGACAUGAAGCAAGGACAGAAGAAGGCAUGAAGAUCAAUGAGCAGCCGCAUGUUAUCGUGGACCUAUUGUUCAAUAUUGGUGACAAGCCGCACCUGGUGUUCACCCAAAAUGGCAAUG